rnacentral:lncRNA from 1 species
CGUUUGCUGCUGCCCUGAAAAACAAUAAAUGAAAAUUUACGCCAGCUUUCUUUUGUCGCAUGCUAAUUUUCCAUGCUUUCUGGUGAUACGAAUUUCGGAUUAUACGAAUAUUUUUUGUGGUCCCAUGAGAUUCGUAUCAAUGAGGUUUCACUGUAUUUUACUUUGCAUCACAAGUGUAUCUUGGUCAAUUGUCGGUCCCUUUUUGACCUGGACAAGAGAAUACAAGACAGGGAGGAAGUCUCUGUGCCCCGUUGUCUGGGUACUUUGCGAGCCGUGCAUAUCAUUGACUAAAGUACAGUCUUGCUCUGCAGACAUGUGAAUCCUGGCACUCCAUGUCCACCCACUCACAAAUGUGCCAGCUGUAAAUGUAGAUAUGCAUGUUGCUGUUUUCUGUGUUGCUCACAAGAAUGAUUUGUAUUCCUUGAAACUUUUGCAACACAUUUUGGCAAGUAUGAAAAACAUGGUCAAGUGUGGCCAUACUGUGCAUCGUCGUUAUUUGCUAAUCUUAGAAAUGCACCCGGUGUUUGGAGUAAUAUCUCCGGUCAAGUAAUUGACAGCAUGCUAAUAGUAUGUGUGGGAUGUCCUUAUAAAGGGCAUGCUACAGCAAUCUGAUGUCAAGUGUGUCAUCUUGGUGAUGCCUUCAAGAUCGUGCCAUUUGUGUGUUGUGAUGGCUAUUGUGGAUUGCAUAAGAGGUUGUCGUUAGAGUGCAUCGCAGCAUUGUUACAAAAUGGUGUUUGGAAUUGCCACCAAUGUCUGUUGACUGUCGGUUGAUACACUGUAUACAACGAUAGCUGUGUCUUGCAGCAGGUGUCUGUGAAGCUGCAUCUGUGGAGAGAGACUGCAUGACUUGUUCUGUAAAACCGAGUGGUGGUACUCUUGCUCUUGGUUUUCAUUCCCCUGUAUUUUCGUUAU